rnacentral:rRNA from 1 species
UUAGCCCUACGGGACGCAGCAGUGAGGAAUAUUGGUCAAUGGGCGGGAGCCUGAACCAGCCAAGUCGCGUGAGGGAAGACGGUCCUACGGAUUGUAACCCUCUUUUGCCGGGGAGCAACGGGGUCCUUGCGAGGUCCCAAUGAGAGUACCCGGAGAAAAAGCAUCGGCUAACUCCGUGCCAGCAGCCGAGGUAAUACGGAGGAUGCGAGCGUUAUCCGGAUUGAUUGGGAUUA